ACUCACUGCACAUAUCACCAAGGUAGUACCCAGUUAGACUCAAGGAAGCACUGUGCCACAGUCUUAGACAUCAUGGAUUGGGUGUGGAACUUGCUAUUUUUCAUAGCAGCAGCCCAAAGUGCCCUAGCACAGGUACAGUUGGUGCAGUCUGGACCAGAGCUGAAACAGCCUGUAGAGACAGUGAAGAUAUCCUGCAAGACUUCUGGUUAUAUCUUCACAGACUUUGGAAUCAAUUGGGUGAAGCAUGCUCCAGGAAAAGGAUUCAAGUGGAUAGGCUGGAUCAAUACCAAAACUGGGAAGCCAACAUAUGCUGAAGACUUCAAGGAACGGUUUGUCUUCUCUUUGGAAACCUCUGCCAGCACUGCAUAUUUGCAGAUCAGCAGCCUGAAAAAUGAGGACAUGGCUAGGUAUUACUGUACAACCCACAGUGUGAAAACCACAUCCUGA